CCUCUGUCUGAUAUGUUUGAUAUUAGGUUGUUUUAUUGGAAAACCAACUAAAUAUCAAACAUAUUCUUACAGCGCCAGGGACACCCAGCGCCGACCCGGUGAGAUGCUGCUGGCUACCUCCUGCGGGCAGGGGGGAGCACGGAGGGUCCGUGCCCCUUCCCGCACUCCCUGCCUGCCCUCUCGCUGCUGCAGUAAAACCCAUCUGCCCACACCACACGCCUGUCUCUGCGGGGCUGGGGAGAAGGAGCUGGGAGCUGCCAUUGCUAGGGGCUGGCGGAGAUUUGGGAUGGUGGCAUGCGCCCGUGUCCCACCGAGGAUGGAGGCCAUAAAGAAGAAGAUGCAGAUGCUGAAGCUGGACAAGGAGAAUGCCCUGGACCGGGCAGAGCAGGCAGAGGCUGAGCAGAAGCAGGCAGAGGAGCGGAGCAAGCAGCUGGAGGACGAGCUUGCCGCCAUGCAGAAGAAGCUGAAGGGGACGGAGGAUGAGCUGGACAAAUACUCCGAGGCCCUGAAAGACGCCCAGGAGAAGUUGGAGCUGGCAGAGAAGAAGGCAGCAGACGGCGGGGCCGGCGCAGCGCGGAUCCGCGGGACGGGACGGGACGAUAGGAUGGCGGGGGCCACCACCAUCGAGGCGGUGAAGCGCAAGAUCCAGGUGCUGCAGCAGCAGGCGGAUGACGCCGAGGAGCGGGCCGACCGCCUGCAGCGGGAGGUGGAGGCCGAGCGCCGCAACCGCGAGCAGGCUGAGGCAGAAGUGGCAUCUUUGAAUCGCCGUAUCCAGCUGGUAGAAGAAGAGUUAGACCGAGCCCAGGAGCGCCUUGCCACAGCUCUGCAGAAGCUGGAAGAGGCAGAGAAGGCUGCAGAUGAAAGUGAAAGAGGCAUGAAAGUCAUUGAAAACAGAGCUCUGAAGGAUGAGGAGAAGAUGGAACUGCAGGAGAUCCAGCUCAAGGAAGCCAAGCACAUUGCAGAGGAGGCAGACAGGAAGUAUGAGGAGGUGGCUCGGAAACUGGUGAUCAUAGAAGGAGAUCUGGAACGUACUGAAGAGAGAGCUGAGCUUGCAGAGUCUAAAUGUUCCGAGCUGGAAGAAGAGCUGAAGAAUGUCACCAACAAUCUCAAGUCUCUUGAGGCUCAGGCUGAGAAGUACUCUCAAAAAGAGGAUAAAUACGAAGAAGAAAUCAAGAUCCUGACUGAUAAACUCAAAGAGGCGGAGACCCGUGCUGAAUUCGCUGAACGGUCUGUAGCCAAGCUGGAGAAGACCAUUGAUGAUUUGGAAGAUGAGCUCUAUGCCCAGAAACUGAAGUACAAAGCAAUUAGUGAGGAACUGGACCACGCCUUGAAUGACAUGACUUCCAUUGCCCGAAGAGCCCUUCAUGAACAGAGUUUUGACGAAAUGGGACACCUCCCAUGGUUUCCUCAGAGCGCCUGUACAGCCAGCUUGAGAAAAACCGCCUGCUCUCUAAUGAGCUGAAGUUAACGCUGCAUGAUCUGUGUGACUGAGAAGGGGGCCCACUAAUACCAUUAAACAAGCUUAUUGCGACCACCAAUGCUGUGGACCACAGUGAAAUCUGAUCAUUCUUAAGACUGGCAGACUUGCAAAUUUUAUGCAAUUGCUGCUAUUUAAUGGGGCACUUGAAUUUAUCCUCUAAUUUAUUUAAGAGUUGGUUGGGUUUUUUUUUUUAUAAAGGUAACCUCUGUUCUUGGUGAAGUAACCCUCAGACUUGGCUGGUUUUUGAGCAGUCUUGUUCACUUGUCCAGGGGGUCCUGCCUGGCUCCUCCAUGGAACCAGAAUGGCUGCACCCACCAAGAGAGGGGUGGGGUGAAGUUAGGCUUAUGUCUGCUAAAAGAUGCCUGUCAAGUGCUAUGACUUAAUUUACUGUUAGCUGAAUGACUGUAGGAUUUCCUGCUGCAUGGAAUGAUGGCUUCGAACAAUAAAUGACUGACCUUGUGGUCUGUGAGACACUGCAUACCUGUAGUACUUUCCUAUAUAGUUGAGUCCUAACCUAGAAGGUUUGGGGGAAGCAGUCGUUCCUGGGGCCUGACCCCAGUGCAGCUGCAGAGCCCCAGAACAGGUUGGGAAAGCUCAUGGGCAUCUUGAAAGCAAGUCCCAAAAUCCACAGCAUGAAGCUGUGUCUUGAGUGCCUGCAGGCACAAAUCUCUAAAUGCUGCAGUUGCUAGUGCUCUAGGAAGGCUGCUUCUUGCUCUGUGCACAGUUUCUGACCCUGGGGAGGUUGGGGAGUGGCUUUGAGAAAAUGCCUGUACCUAAAGGACAUCUUUCUACAGCCUGUCUGUCCAGUGUCCCAGUGUGUGGAUCUCUUCAGUGAUAAGGGUAGGCUCACCUUUGGAGUAAAGCCUACCUAGAGCACUAGUUGCUGAUCUGAGCUCUCCUCCUGGCUUAAGGAACAUAUAAACUGAAAUCCACCAAAGAGGAGCAUCUCUGCACGCAAAGAAUGCUGGACCAGACCCUGCUAGACCUGAACGAGAUGUAAUGGAUCCCUGCUACUGCCUCCGCCACAUGAUGCCCGGGGGGGCCAGCCCAGCUGCUGCUGACCUCUAACCCUUGGGGACCAGAGUUUACUUUCUGUUGCCAACUUGACCAAACACAAAUCUUGUCCUUUGCCUCAGGGUUAAAGGCCAUCAGGUUGGGCAGAGCUUCAAACAGCAUUAUUAAGGGAAAUAAACAAUGCAAUAAUGUUUGGGGAGCAUGUUUGAGAUGUAUACAUUUUGUAACUACCUUUUUUUGUAGCAACCAUUGUAAACAUUCCAAAUAACUUGUGAGAGGGUGAUGAGCUAUACUUCAAAGCUCUUGGCUUUAAAAUUGAGUAUUAACCUUCUGUUAAUCAGCUCUGGACCACCCUGCUUUGGCAGGGGAGGAAGGAGGGUGUGACGGUUCUGGCGGUGGCCACUGAAUCAAAGUAGCUGGGCUAGGGAUGGAAGCCUGUUGGGAAGUCUUCCUUUCCAGGAGCUGUUUGCCAAAAGAGCAGUUCAGUUUCUCAGCUUUAAGAUAACUCUGUGUUGUGCAGAAGCAACUUGCGUGAAAGGAGAUUUUUUUUUUUUUUUUUUUUUUUUUUUUUUUUUUAAGGCCAAGCCUGUUAUCUGAACAAUUGAUCCUUCGCAGGGGUUGUUUCCCUUCCCUGCCCCGCCCCCCCCCCCCCCCCCCCCCGCCAGUGUGGGCCACUCCCUUUCCUGGUAGGCUUAGACGAGCCAUGGCCCCUCUAACCCAUUGCUACACAGGGGUUGAAUUUGCCUUCACUAAGUGCUGAUGCACCAAGCUUUAUCGCUCAUCGCUGGGUUACACUUAACAGCUUAAGUACAACAGCCUUGCUUUCUUGGAGAAGUUUUAUUUGCCUACCCUGAUGGAGGGAACCGAGGCCUUCCCUCCUGGCCAGGAGUGCUCUUAGUGUCUUAAUAAGGUACAAGCCAUCUUGCUGUGCAUUGCUGAUGUGUAGUUGUUGUGAGGCGUGAGUGUGGAGAUGUGUCAAGCUCGCGGCGUGUAGCUUGUGGUUUGAGCGUGCUGCUUGGUUGUAGCAGUUCUAGGGGCCAAUCUGGAGAAAAGGAACCCUAUCAAAGUGUUUUGAUACUAAAUUGAAAAAUUGUCUUACUGUCUUUUGAAAUAAAAACCAAUCCCUCCA